CCAAGGAGUUUAGCGUUCGCGCGAGUCACUGGGCGGCAAACCCAAAGGCGAAAUGAAAGUGAAGGAAGCCCGGCUUCCCGAGGGAGGACAGGCGCGCGUCAGCCGCAAGGCGGCCGCCUUGCACUCCCGGGGCGUCUCCGUCUCCAAGUGAGUGGAGGCGCACCUAUAGCGCGCACGCUGAUACCCGAAAGAUGGUGAACUAUGCCCGGCCAGGACGAAGCCAGGGGAAACCCUGGUGGAGGUCCGCAGCGAUUCUGACGUGCAAAUCGAUCGUCGGAGCUGGGUAUAGGGGCGAAAGACCAAUCGAACCAUCUAGUAGCUGGUUCCCUCUGAAGUUUCCCUCAGGAUAGCUUGCGCUCGUUAGAAGACGAGUCUCAUCCGGUAGAGCGAAUGAUUAGAGGCCUUGGGGUCGAAACGACCUCAACCUAUUCUCAAACUCCAAAUAGAUGAGAACCCCGGCUUGCUUGAAAGCAUGAAGCCGCCGGGAAAUUAUCGGAUCAGAGUGCAAAGUGGGCCAUUUUU
rnacentral:rRNA from 1 species